rnacentral:rRNA from 1 species
UUAAGCGACUAAGCGUACACGGUGGAUGCCCUGGCAGUCAGAGGCGAUGAAGGGCGUGCUAAUCUGCGAUAAGCGCCGGUAAGGUGAUAUGAACCGUUAUAACCGGCGAUACCCGAAUGGGGAAACCCAGUGUGACUCGUCACACUAUCAUUAACUGAAUCCAUAGGUUAAUGAGGCGAACCGGGGGAACUGAAACAUCUAAGUACCCCGAGGAAAAGAAAUCAACCGAGAUUCCCCCAGUAGCGGCGAGCGAACGGGGAGGAGCCCAGAGCCUGAAUCAGCAUGUGUGUUAGUGGAAGCGUCUGGAAAGGCGCGCGAUACAGGGUGACAGCCCCGUACACAAAAGCGCAUGUGCUGUGAGCUCGAUGAGUAGGGCGGGACACGUGGUAUCCUGUCUGAAUAUGGGGGGACCAUCCUCCAAGGCUAAAUACUCCUGACUGACCGAUAGUGAACCAGUACCGUGAGGGAAAGGCGAAAAGAACCCCGGCGAGGGGAGUGAAAAAGAACCUGAAACCGUGUACGUACAAGCAGUGGGAGCACCCUUUUGGGUGUGACUGCGUACCUUUUGUAUAAUGGGUCAGCGACUUAUAUUCUGUAGCAAGGUUAACCGUAUAGGGGAGCCGUAGGGAAACCGAGUCUUAACCGGGCGUUAAGUUGCAGGGUAUAGACCCGAAACCCGGUGAUCUAGCCAUGGGCAGGUUGAAGGUUGGGUAACACUAACUGGAGGACCGAACCGACUAAUGUUGAAAAAUUAGCGGAUGACCUGUGGCUGGGGGUGAAAGGCCAAUCAAACCGGGAGAUAGCUGGUUCUCCCCGAAAGCUAUUUAGGUAGCGCCUCGUGAAUUCAUCUCCGGGGGUAGAGCACUGUUUCGGCUAGGGGGCCAUCCCGGCUUACCAACCCGAUGCAAACUGCGAAUACCGGAGAAUGUUAUCACGGGAGACACACGGCGGGUGCUAACGUCCGUCGUGAAGAGGGAAACAACCCAGACCGCCAGCUAAGGUCCCAAAGUCAUGGUUAAGUGGGAAACGAUGUGGGAAGGCCCAGACAGCCAGGAUGUUGGCUUAGAAGCAGCCAUCAUUUAAAGAAAGCGUAAUAGCUCACUGGUCGAGUCGGCCUGCGCGGAAGAUGUAACGGGGCUAAACCAUGCACCGAAGCUGCGGCAGCGACGCUUAUGCGUUGUUGGGUAGGGGAGCGUUCUGUAAGCCUGUGAAGGUGUGUCGUGAGGCAUGCUGGAGGUAUCAGAAGUGCGAAUGCUGACAUAAGUAACGAUAAAGCGGGUGAAAAGCCCGCUCGCCGGAAGACCAAGGGUUCCUGUCCAACGUUAAUCGGGGCAGGGUGAGUCGACCCCUAAGGCGAGGCCGAAAGGCGUAGUCGAUGGGAAACGGGUUAAUAUUCCCGUACUUGGUGUUACUGCGAAGGGGGGACGGAGAAGGCUAUGUUGGCCGGGCGACGGUUGUCCCGGUUUAAGCGUGUAGGUGUGUGUUCCAGGUAAAUCCGGUUCACUUUAACACUGAGGCGUGACGACGAGGCACUACGGUGCUGAAGCAACAAAUGCCCUGCUUCCAGGAAAAGCCUCUAAGCAUCAGGUAACAUCAAAUCGUACCCCAAACCGACACAGGUGGUCAGGUAGAGAAUACCAAGGCGCUUGAGAGAACUCGGGUGAAGGAACUAGGCAAAAUGGUGCCGUAACUUCGGGAGAAGGCACGCUGACAUGUAGGUGAAGUGAUUUACUCAUGGAGCUGAAGUCAGUCGAAGAUACCAGCUGGCUGCAACUGUUUAUUAAAAACACAGCACUGUGCAAACACGAAAGUGGACGUAUACGGUGUGACGCCUGCCCGGUGCCGGAAGGUUAAUUGAUGGGGUCAGCGCAAGCGAAGCUCCUGAUCGAAGCCCCGGUAAACGGCGGCCGUAACUAUAACGGUCCUAAGGUAGCGAAAUUCCUUGUCGGGUAAGUUCCGACCUGCACGAAUGGCGUAAUGAUGGCCAGGCUGUCUCCACCCGAGACUCAGUGAAAUUGAACUCGCUGUGAAGAUGCAGUGUACCCGCGGCAAGACGGAAAGACCCCGUGAACCUUUACUAUAGCUUGACACUGAACAUUGAGCCUUGAUGUGUAGGAUAGGUGGGAGGCUUUGAAGCGUGGACGCCAGUCUGCGUGGAGCCGACCUUGAAAUACCACCCUUUAAUGUUUGAUGUUCUAACGUGGACCCGUGAUCCGGGUUGCGGACAGUGUCUGGUGGGUAGUUUGACUGGGGCGGUCUCCUCCUAAAGAGUAACGGAGGAGCACGAAGGUUGGCUAAUCCUGGUCGGACAUCAGGAGGUUAGUGCAAUGGCAUAAGCCAGCUUGACUGCGAGCGUGACGGCGCGAGCAGGUGCGAAAGCAGGUCAUAGUGAUCCGGUGGUUCUGAAUGGAAGGGCCAUCGCUCAACGGAUAAAAGGUACUCCGGGGAUAACAGGCUGAUACCGCCCAAGAGUUCAUAUCGACGGCGGUGUUUGGCACCUCGAUGUCGGCUCAUCACAUCCUGGGGCUGAAGUAGGUCCCAAGGGUAUGGCUGUUCGCCAUUUAAAGUGGUACGCGAGCUGGGUUUAGAACGUCGUGAGACAGUUCGGUCCCUAUCUGCCGUGGGCGCUGGAGAACUGAGGGGGGCUGCUCCUAGUACGAGAGGACCGGAGUGGACGCAUCACUGGUGUUCGGGUUGUCAUGCCAAUGGCACUGCCCGGUAGCUAAAUGCGGAAGAGAUAAGUGCUGAAAGCAUCUAAGCACGAAACUUGCCCCGAGAUGAGUUCUCCCUGAGACUUAGAGUCUCCUGAAGGAACGUUGAAGACGACGACGUUGAUAGGCCGGGUGUGUAAGCGCAGCGAUGCGUUGAGCUAACCGGUACUAAUGAACCGUGAGGCUUAACCUU